AGAGUUUGAUCAUGGCUCAGAAUGAACGUUGGCGGCGUGGAUUAGGCAUGCAAGUCGAGCGAGAAUUCCCCGCAAGGGGAAGGACAGCGGCGAAAGGGAGAGGAACACGUAGUUACCUACCCUCAGGACUGGGAUAGCUCCGGGAAACCGGAGGUAAUACCAGAUGACGUCGAGAGACCAAAGGUGUGAUUCCGCCUGAGGAGGGGACUGCGUCCUAUUAGCUAGUUGGCGAGGUAACGGCUCACCAAGGCGAUGAUGGGUACGGGGUGUGAGAGCAUGCCCCCGCUCACUGGGACUGAGACACUGCCCAGACACCUACGGGUGGCUGCAGUCGAGGAUCUUCGGCAAUGGGCGCAAGCCUGACCGAGCGACGCCGCGUGCGGGAUGAAGGCCUUCGGGUUGUAAACCGCCGUCGGGAUGGAGGAAAUUCCAUAGGGUUCUCUCUAUGGAUUGACCUAUAUUCAGAGGAAGGACGGGCUAAGUUCGUGCCAGCAGCCGCGGUAAGACGAACCGUCCAAACGUUAUUCGGAAUCACUGGGCUUAAAGGGUGCGUAGGCGGCUCAGAAAGUAGGGUGUGAAAGCCCUCGGCUCAACCGAGGAAUUGCGCCCUAAACUACUGGGCUAGAGGAACGCAGAGGUAAGCGGAACUUAGGGUGGAGCGGUGAAAUGCGUUGAUAUCCUAAGGAACACCAGGAGCGAAAGCGGCUUACUGGGCGUUUUCUGACGCUGAUGCACGAAAGCUAGGGGAGCGAACGGGAUUAGAUACCCCCGUAGUCC
rnacentral:rRNA from 1 species